rnacentral:rRNA from 1 species
UACGGAGGAUCCAAGCGUUAUCCGGAAUUAUUGGGCGUAAAGAGCUCGUAGGCGGUUUGUCGCGUCUGCUGUGAAAACUGGGGGCUCAACCCCCAGCCUGCAGUGGGUACGGGCAGACUAGAGUGCGGUAGGGGAGAUUGGAAUUCCUGGUGUAGCGGUGGAAUGCGCAGAUAUCAGGAGGAACACCGAUGGCGAAGGCAGAUCUCUGGGCCGUAACUGACGCUGAGGAGCGAAAGCAUGGGGAGCGAACAGG